UUAUGUUACGACUUAUCUUACCUUAAUAAUAAGAGCGACGGGCGAUGUGUGCAUAUUUUAGAGCUAAAAUCAAACUUUUAAUCUUUAAAAUUUUACUAUCAAAUCCACUUUCAUUAAAAAAAUUUUCAAUCUUAAAUCCAUUUAAAUAUAUUUAUUGUAACCCAUCUCUACUUAAAUAUAAGCUACACCUUGAUCUGAUAUAAAUUUUAAUAAAAAUUAUAGAAAAUUAUUGUUCUUAUAAAAUAUUCCAACAACGACGGUAUAUAAACUGAAAGACAAAUUUAAGUAAGGUACAUCGUGGAUUAUCAAUUACAGGACAGGUUCCUCUGAAUAGACUAAAAUACCGCCAAAUUUUUUAAGUUUCAAGAACAUAACUACUACUACCUCAGCACUUACUACUACAUUUUAAAUAAUAGGGUAUCUAAUCCUAGUUUA
rnacentral:rRNA from 1 species